UGAAUACGCGAUGAGCUCUUUCCAGAGAUCCUAAUGACUGAAGGUGAAAUGCAGUAGAGCCCUAGGACAACCGAAUCUACUGAUAAACUGUUCGGACAAAGCAGCAGCGACAGACACUGAAUCGAUAUUAGUUAAAGGUAAUGGAUCCACAAUGUCCAUCUACACCUAUUCGAACGCAACCUUGGGAGUGCCAGUAAUUCGC